UAAGAAGGGGGCUAGCGUUGUUCGGAAUCACUGGGCGUAAAGCGCACGCAGGCGGAUCGAUAAGUCGGGGGUGAAAGCCCGGGGCUCAACCUCGGAAUUGCCUUCGAUACUGUCGGUCUCGAGUCCGGGAGAGGUGAGUGGAAUUCCUAGUGUAGAGGUGAAAUUCGUAGAUAUUAGGAAGAAAAACAGUGGCGAAGGCGGCUCACUGGCCCGGUACUGACGCUCAGGUGCGAAAGCGUGGGGAGCAAACAGG
rnacentral:rRNA from 1 species